rnacentral:rRNA from 1 species
UACGAAGGGGGCUAGCGUUGCUCGGAAUCACUGGGCGUAAAGCGCACGUAGGCGGCUUCUUAAGUCAGGGGUGAAAUCCUGGAGCUCAACUCCAGAACUGCCUUUGAUACUGAGGAGCUUGAGUCCGGGAGAGGUGAGUGGAACUGCGAGUGUAGGGGUGAAAUUCGUAGAUAUUCGCAAGAACACCAGUGGCGAAGGCGGCUCACUGGCCCGGUACUGACGCUGAGGUGCGAAAGCGUGGGGAGCAAACGGG